CGGCGUCACGAGUGGCAAUCACGUUUAUUGGGCCUAAAGCGUCCGUAGCCGGUUUAGCAAAUCUUUUGUGAAAUCGUCAGGCUUAACUUGACGAAUUGCAGAAGACACUACUAAACUAGGGACUGGGAGGAGUCAGAAGUAUUCUGGGGGGACCGGUAAAAUGGUAUAAUCCCCAGAGGACUACCGAUGGCGAAGGCAUCUGACCAGAACAGAUCCGACGGUGAGGGACGAAAGCCAGGGGAGCAAACCGGAUUAGAUACCCGAGUAGUCC
rnacentral:rRNA from 1 species